rnacentral:rRNA from 1 species
GCUUAUGGCCACACCGGCCUGAGUAUGCCUGAUCUCGUCCGAUCUCGGAAGCUAAGCAGGGUCGGGCCUGGUUAGUACUUGGAUGGGAGACCGCCUGGGAAUACCAGGUGCUGUAAGCU